UACGUAGGCAGCGAGCGUUGUUCGGAGUUACUGGGCGUAAAGGGUGUGUAGGCGGUUGUUUAAGUUUGGUGUGAAAUCUCCCGGCUCAACUGGGAGGGUGCGCCGAAUACUGAAUGACUUCGAGUACGGGAGAGGUGAGUGGAAUUCCUGGUGUAGCGGUGAAAUGCGUAGAUAUCAGGAGGAACACCGGUGGUGUAGACGGCUCACUGGACCGUAACUGACGCUGAGAACACGAAAGCGUGGGGUAGCAAACAGG
rnacentral:rRNA from 1 species